rnacentral:lncRNA from 1 species
AUGUAGUCAUUCCAAAAAUUUCAAUCCACAAUGCAAAAUCACAAAAUAAAUCCACAAAAUGUAUCAAAAUUACACAAUAUUUAUAAAACAUGGCAUUUGAUCUUGAAGCUCCUUGCAAAUCUCAUCCUACAAAUACCAAAAAAAAAACAAAUUACAUAAAAAAAACACAAAUGAGUAAUACCAAAAAUUAGACAAAUUCAAAAGAAAUAAUUUGACAAUGGCGAGGUUGCAUAAAAACGACAAUGACGAAUGAAGUAAAGUUCAAAUAAUUUGACAAAAAUAGAAUUGCUGGUUACUCAUAUGCAUCUCAAACAAGAUACCAGCAAAUAACCGAAAUCGCUGUUUUGCAUCAACUUGGACGAAUCAUUCUAGCAGGAAUCACGAAAAACAAACAAAUCUAGGAUCAAAUUCAAUAACAAUUCUCACAAAAACACAAGUGAACUCCUUUUCUUCUCACACUUUUUAUUCGAAGAACACAAAACAUAUUCCAAGGUUUACCUGAGGAGAGGGCAGCGGCCGGAGUUGGUGCGGCGCAGUGGUGGGCUGGAGUUGGAUUCUGGAGAGGGCCGACUGUCGAGUGUCGAGAGGGAUUUGGGGUGGGGGAGGGACCGAGAAGGAUUUCGGGUGGGGGAAGGUCCGAGACUGGAGGUGGACGGCCGGACCGGUGGGAAAGCGGCUCAAUCAUAGCAGAUGGGGGAAGAGAGGACUCCGAUCUGGAGAGGUGGAGAGGUCAGAGCGGCGGCGCGCUGGGGGUUGGGCCGAAAUGGAAGAGAGGACUCCGAUCUGGAGAGGUGGAGAGGUUAGAGCGGCGGAUCUGGGCGGAGAUGGCAGAUGGGACCUGGGCGCCCAAGUGCGCGGAUCGAGGAGGGGCUCGGCGCGGCGCAGAUGGCAGAAAUUUAGAGCUCAUAGACUGGGAACUGUGCGCGGCGCGGGGGAGCGGCACGGCACGGCACGGCGCAGAAGGCGACACUCAGAUUGAAGAAGGGAAGGAAUAGGAUUAAGGCGGAGCUGUUGUUGUAGAGGAGAGGAAGGCGACGCUCAGAUUGAAGACGGCACUGCGACGCUUCGAUUGUAGAGGA